ACCUCUCAAAACAUAAGGAAAGGUUGUUGAUAUGCCAGCUCAAUUAAAAAUAGAAAACAUGCUCGCUUAUUCUGAUUGACGUAGACAACUUUAAAAAUUAGCCACCAAUAAAUAGAGACAUGUUAGAGCACAUAUAUUUUUUCUACUCCUUAAAUUGUUUUAGCAAUUUCUUAAAUCUAUAAUCUAGAGUGCUAAAAUGCCGUUAGGUGUUCAACAGUUCUAUAUCUAGCAACCGGGAUGUGCGACAGCGGAGUUCUGGAAGACGGCAACGCCGGCGGAAGGUCAGGCCCUUCUUUUUGGCUAUCGGGACAUGCAUGGAACAUUCUGGACGGCGCCGGCGCACAACCGGCACUUGCACUACCGGAACGCUUCUCGACCAGAGAUGGGCGGGCGCCGGAGAAGGUGGGCGAGGCGACGACGUGGCCUGGGUGUUCGUCAGAGAUGGAUGGAACGAAGCGAGUGGUGGGCGGCGAGUGGUGGGCGGCGAUCGCAAAACCAUCGACAGCGAAAGCCACCCAACCAACCGGACUUGAUGAGCGCCACCACCAAACCAACGACUAAAAUAG
rnacentral:misc_RNA from 1 species